UUGUUGUGAGAUGACCACACAGUCAGCAGUCUUGCUCUGGAAUGGAAGGAAACAGCAGAAGCUGACAACAGGAAUGGGUUUGUGAUGAGCUGAAUUCUAUGGAUGUAUUGUUAGAUCCUCCUGAGCUUUUUGUUGUAAACAGAGCAAAGUGUUUGGACUUUUUAGCAAUUAUAGAGAAGAAAAUCAGUGACAGACAAGGACUGUUGUGAGGAAAAGACAUGAGUGGAAUGGAGAAACAUUCACGAAGCACAUGAAUGCAAAGCAGCAAGAAAAAAGAGAAAGAGACCUCUUGAUAAACUACCAGAAAGACCU